GGUUCAUUCAACAUUCUGCCCUAUCAACUUUCGACGGCUGGGUCUUGGCAGCCAUGGUGACAACGGGUAACGGAGGGUUAGGGCUCGACCCCGGAGAAGGAGCCUGAGAAACGGCUACUACAUCCAAGGAAGGCAGCAGGCGCGCAAAUUACCCAAUCCCGACCGGGGAGGUAGUGACAAUAAAUACUGAUACAGGGCUCUUUUGGGUCUUGUAAUUGGAAUGAGUACAAUUUAAAUCCCUUAACGAGGAACAAUUGGAGGGCAAGUCUGGUGCCAGCAGCCGCGGUAAUUCCAGCUCCAAUAGCGUAUAUUAAAGUUGUUGCAGUUAAGAAGCUCGUAGUUG
rnacentral:rRNA from 1 species